CCUACGGGAGGCAGCAGUGAGGAAUAUUGGUCAAUGGCCGGAAGGCUGAACCAGCCAAGCCGCGUGAGGGAGGAAGGCGCAGAGCGUCGCAGACCUCUUUUGCCGGGGGACAAAAGGCCGGACUCGUCCGGUCCUGAGGGUACCCGGAGAAAAAGCAUCGGCUAACUCCGUGCCAGCAGCCGCGGUAAUACGGAGGAUGCGAGCGUUAUCCGGAUUCAUUGGGUGUAAAGGGCGUGUAGCCGGGUUGACAAGUCAGAUGUGAAAUCCUGCGGCUUAACCGCAGAACUGCAUUUGAAACUGUUGAUCGUGAGUACGGGAGAGGCAGACGGAAUUCCUAGUGUAGCGGUGAAAUGCGUAGAUAUUAGGAGGAACACCAGUGGCGAAGGCGGUCUGCUGGACAGCAACUGACGGUGAGGCGCGAAAGCGUGGGGAGCAAACAGGAUUAGAUACCCCAGUAGUC
rnacentral:rRNA from 1 species